UACGUAGGGUGCAAGCGUUAAUCGGAAUUACUGGGCGUAAAGCGUGCGCAGGCGGUGAUGUAAGACAGUUGUGAAAUCCCCGGGCUCAACCUGGGAACUGCAUCUGUGACUGCAUCGCUGGAGUGCGGCAGAGGGGGAUGGAAUUCCGCGUGUAGCAGUGAAAUGCGUAGAUAUGCGGAGGAACACCGAUGGCGAAGGCAGUGUCCUGGCGAGUGACUGACGCUGAGGUGCGAAAGCCAGGGGAGCGAACGGG
rnacentral:rRNA from 1 species